AGUGGAGACUGUUUCUUCUCCCUUCUUAGUGAUUACAACUGCUACUUACAUAUUUUUUUUCUUUCAAGAUCAUGAAGCCAUGUUGUCUCUAUCUUUCCUCUCCUUCAUCCUUUACUUAGUAGCACCGAUAGCACUUUUAACUUAUGUCUGGUUAAAGGCCAGACAUCCUGGAUUCAGAUUCUAGCUUGACCACUUAUAAGCGCUAUGAAUGUGGCCUUGUUGAAGAUGGCUGAGUGUAAACCAGAAUGCAAAUCAGCUGGGGCACGUACUACUGGAGGCAGCGUCCCAUGAGAAGGGGCCAAGAACCCGCACCCACCAAAAUCAAGAUGAAAGGCUGAACCCGGAGAGAAAAGGGAGAGAAACAAGGAACCAUCAAGCAAAGGGGACAUCUGGGGUGGCAGAGAAACAAGGAACCAUCAAGCAAAGGGGGCAUCUGGG